rnacentral:rRNA from 1 species
UGCGUAGGCGGCCGCUUAAGUAGGGUGUGAAAUGUCCCGGCUCAACCGGGGGAAUGGCGCUCUAAACUGGGUGGCUCGAGUGAGAUAGAGGUGUGCGGAACUUCCGGUGGAGCGGUGAAAUGUGUUGAUAUCGGAGGGAACACCAUUGGCGAAAGCGGCACACUGGGUCUUAACUGACGCUGAGGCACGAAAGCCAGGGGAGGCAAACG